rnacentral:rRNA from 1 species
AAGUCAGAUGUGAAAGACCCCGGGGCGUUAACCUACGGAAGUUGCAUUUGUAAACUAGGCAGGCUAGAGUCUUGUAGAGGGGGGUAGGAAGUUUACAGGUGUAGCGGUGAAAUAGCGUAGAGAUCUGAAGGAAUACCAGUGGCGAAGGCGGCCCCCCUGGACAAAGACUGACGCUCAGAUGCGAAAGCGUGGGGAGCAAACAGGAUUAGAUACCCCUGGUAG